rnacentral:rRNA from 1 species
UACGGAGGGUGCAAGCGUUGCUCGGAAUUAUUGGGCGUAAAGGGUAGGUAGGUGGUCUCGUUUGUCUGGGGUGAAAUCCUUGAGCUUAACUCAAGAAGUGCCUCAGAAACGGCGAGACUAGAGUUCUGGAGAGGGUCGUGGAAUUCCCGGUGUAGCGGUGAAAUGCGUAGAGAUCGGGAGGAACACCGAUGGCGAAGGCAGCCUCCUGGGCCAAUACUGACGCUCAUGCACGAAAGCGUGGGGAGCAAACAGG